rnacentral:lncRNA from 1 species
AUAUAGAAUAUUUUGUAUAUCUUGUCUAUUAUGUAAACGAAUAUGCUAGCGCGCAAACAUGUUUGGCCUCUCCAUUUUCCAAGACUGUUAUUCUGAGCCAAUCAGAAUUUAGCAUCUAUGGCCCCACCCCUAUCUCCGCCUAUGCUAAUAAGCAUGGUUGUGUGAGAAGAGCGAUAUAGAUUUUAACAAGCAGUUUAUUAACUACCCAACCUAAUUCUACAAAACGACAGAGUAACAAUAACCAACAUUUACCUAGUUAACUCCCACUAGAGUUACUUUCAACUCCCUGGCAGUUCCAGACAAAAUUCUGUGCUGAGGCCUUAGCGACGCCCACGUUUUGCUAAUUAAAAACGGCGGGCACGCGUUCCCUUAUUCAAAAUAAUCCAUAUUCAUCAAACAUUAAAAACGAAGUCCUUGUUCACCCUGCAGCCUUGUGUCUGCUAUCCAGAUGGACUCAUUACAACGAUUCCUCCACAGCUGCCAGGUGUGUGCAGAUGACAGGAAGGGGCUGAUGGAGAAUUCCCAUAUGACCAAUCAAUACUGAGAUGACAGUAGCAGGAUGGCAUGUGUGUUGCUGUCAGGUUCUCCUGGGGAGAGUUCUAGUGAUGUUGAGUGUUGUGUGUCUGCAUCUGCAGCGUGUGUGUAAUGAGAGGGAUAUCCUCUUGGAGACUCCUGUCUGGCAAGAGCUGGAAACAGAUCAUCACCUUGUGGACCUGAUACCAACAGAGAGAGAGUGAAAGACAAGGAAAGAGAGAUGGGAAGGAGGAGAAUGGGAUUAGGGAAGCUACUGUGAACUUUUAUUUAUUUAUUUUAUUUUUAUUUUGUUUCUUGGUAGCUGUGGUCACAAAACUUUACCAUAAAAAUACAGUGACAGUUUCAGACAUUAUGGGGCUUUACAGGUAAUUUUAGUGACUGUAUAAUGCUUAACAGGUUUAUGCCGUGGGUUUUUUAUUUUCUUCUCCCAUUAACAUUACUGACAUUUUAUACACUCUACUGCCUAUAAUCUACUAGAUUUAUUUUUCUCUAGAUGGUGAUUUUAAGUCUGUUUAAGGGUUACAUGCUUUUUAUAGCAUUAGAACAGGAAGUUAUAAUUGCCACCACAAGCUAUAACCAAUGCAACCCAGUGCACAAGCUGGAAAAUAUAGCAAUUUUCAUUAACGAGGAGAGCCUGCCCAAUGCAGAAGAGAAGAUACUAGUUUCAUUGUGAAUUUCAUUCACUAAGCACUGCCUUAACUGAAAACUUUUCCUUGCCUUAGCAACUAGUCACCAAGUUGUCUGACAUGCUAAUCAAUCAUAUGUUUAAAUGGAUUACCUGUGUGUUUGCAUAGUUUAAAAAACCCCAAAAACAAAUCCAAAAACAAGCAAAAAAUAAACCAUCCCAAAUGAAUGCAAUUAUAACAAUAAAGACAGCUACAUUUACUCCUGUCACACCCAAGGACUUUUCUGUGUGUUUUUAUCUAGUUUUUUGAUCAACUCAAUGGUAAAUGUAUGUAUACAGCACUUUUAAUUUAAUUAUGUUGUUUUUAAUUAGGCUAAUUUUUUUUCUAGCUUCCAAGUUGAUGUGCAUUUGAGUCUUACGUUUU